UACGUAGGGGGCAAGCGUUGUCCGGAUUUACUGGCGUGAAAGGGCGCAGGUAGGCGGUCGUGACAAGUUCACUUGUGAAAUCUCCCGGGCUUAACUACGGCGAACGGUCAAGUGGAUACUGUCGGACGUAGAGGUACAGAAGGGGCAACGUGGAAUUCUCGGUGUAGCGGUGAAAUGCGUAGAGAUCGGGAGGAAUACCUAUGGCGAAAGCGGGCUUCUGGGCCGUCACUGACGCUGAUCUGCGAAAGCUAGGGGAGCAAACAGG
rnacentral:rRNA from 1 species